rnacentral:rRNA from 1 species
AUUGAACGCUGGCGGCAGGCCUAACACAUGCAAGUCGAACGAGUGGCGGACGGGUGAGUAAUGUCUGGGAAACUGCCUGAUGGAGGGGGAUAACUACUGGAAACGGUAGCUAAUACCGCAUACCAUCGGAUGUGCCCAGAUGGGAUUAGCUAGUAGGUGGGGUAAAGGCUCACCUAGGCGACGAUCCCUAGCUGGUCUGAGAGGAUGACCAGCCACACUGGAACUGAGACACGGUCCAGACUCCUACGGGAGGCAGCAGUGGGGAAUAUUGCACAAUGGGCGCAAGCCUGAUGCAGCCAUCCCGCGUGUGCGAUGAAGGCCUUCGGGUUGUAAAGCACUUUUGGCAGGAAAGCGGUACCUGCAGAAUAAGCACCGGCUAACUACGUGCCAGCAGCCGCGGUAAUUC